UUAAAAUUUUUCUUAGUGUACUGUAGUGACGGCGGAUCAUAAAGUUAAGUAGUACCCUCGAAGCAACUACCCAAGGAAUGGCAAAGUGGACUGAGGACGGUUUAAGGAGAGUGCUGGUUUCGUUUAGUGGCUCAACUGUGGAUUUAAACAGUUUUAUAUCGGCGUGCCCCGGAGUUGUAAAACGAGGAGGAGGCAAUGAGCCAAGACGUUGCUCAGCGAGAACGUAGCUCACGACUCGCGUAUUACGUCCACUGACAUAACCUAUAAUGAUGUCAGACUUCUUAUGCAGGAGGAUCAUUGCCGAUACGGUAGUCAAGAUAUUCGAAUUGGAAUUUCAGUAGCACGUGGUCCCGAUACAUAUAGAGAAAUUACACGUUCGAAAGGAUUGCUUUCCGUAUGGCGGAAAAUUAAAUGCAACUGUCGGAUCGUCACUAAUUCGGUUCGAUCGUGGUUUUCGAGGG